rnacentral:lncRNA from 1 species
UGAAAAGACGAUACAGCAAGGUUUAUUUUUUCAUCUUAAUUUUCCUUUUUCUUUCUUUUCCGGGGUUUGGGUAUUGGCUUUAUUUCUGAAUUUUUUUCCCUUUGAAAUUAUCGAAAAAAUGUAUUGUUUCUUAAAGGGUUCAUGGAAACAAGGUUAUUUUAGUCGAUGUGAUGUACAGAAUCAAUAAGUAUUAAGAUGAAGAUGUGGUAUUCUGUAAUUUUUUUAUGUUGUGGAAAGAACAAAAAAAUCAGUUUACUUUUGUAUUAAGAUGAAGAUGUGGUAAUCUGUAAUUUUUUUAUGUUGUGGAAAGAACAAAAAAUCAGUUUACUUUUUUUUUUUCAAUUAAAGUGUCGUUGUUGAAGUAGAAAUGGAAAGUUUUCUUUUUUACCAAGUUUCCAUUUUAAUCUACCUCAGUUUAUUAAUAGCAUUUUGCUAAUCUACAGAAUGUUAUACACAUAUACUAAUAUGGAGAUGAAGGUUGAUUGUUAAAUAUGUUGCAUUGCUCUUUGUAGUGGAGAUUCAACGGUUGCUUCCUAGUUUCCAUAUUAAUUUAAAUUUGCUUAAUCACUUGCCUUUUUACUUUACUUUGAGAGAAGAGUAUGAGUAGAACGUCAUUGCAAUAUUAAUCAACAGGUCCAGCCUGGUUAUGAGGUAGGUGAUGUGGUCUUGUAGAGAAGAGUAUGAGUAGAACGUAAUUGCAAGAUUCUGCUCAUCAUUGGAUCUUGUUGAGAUGAGAGAUUAUAUGGCUUUCAAGCCAAAGGAUAAGUGACAUAUUCAUUGUAAUUCAUUGUAUAUUCAUUAUACAUUUAUUGUAUACUCAUGGUAUACCUCUGUAAUGGGCUAUGAUGAUCAAUGCUGCU